UACGGAGGGGGCUAGCGUUGUUCGGAAUUACUGGGCGUAAAGCGCACGUAGGCGGGUCGUUAAGUCGGGGGUGAAAUCCUGGAGCUCAACUCCAGAACUGCCUUCGAUACUGGCGAUCUUGAGUCUGGGAGAGGUGAGUGGAACUCCGAGUGUAGAGGUGAAAUUCGUAGAUAUUCGGAAGAACACCAGUGGCGAAGGCGGCUCACUGGCCCGGUACUGACGCUGAGGUGCGAAAGCGUGGGGAGCAAACAGG
rnacentral:rRNA from 1 species